rnacentral:lncRNA from 1 species
UUCAAGUUUGGGGGGUUUGAUAAGUGUAUUUUUGCAUACUUAUUUACAUCACAAACAUGACUUAAAUACAAGUAAAAUGAUUGAAUUGUUACUUAAUUUUGUUGAAUUCAUGCAAUGUAGGUGAUUCUAUGGAAAUAGUGGAAUUCAGGAGAAAAGAGCCGGAAAAGGACCAAAUUGGAGCAAAAUGAAAAUUCAGGGACCAAAUUGCAAUUAUCUGAAAGUUGAUCCGAUGAACACAUCAAGCAAUUGAUCAAGCUAAGCACCAAUUGGAAGAUAUAAUGGAACAUUGGAACAACUAGAAAUAAGAGAGGAGGUCAAGGAGUGAAGGAAUGAAACUUGAGGAUCAAAAUGACUCAAUUUAGAAGUUCACUCUACUAUGCGG